rnacentral:tRNA from 1 species
GCCAGUGUGGUGUAGUGGUUUGAGCACUGGAUUACAACUUUGGAGACCAGGAUUCGAAUCCCAGCUUAGUCA